CUUUCCUCGACCAGAAUUUCUUGUUCCAUGCAUAGCCACAACGUGAUCAGUAUCGGCAGCAUCGACAGAAGCAGCAGCAGCUAACCCUGUAACUCAGCAUUUGAUUCUGAGGCGAUGAAGAGCCUUCCGAUGAUGCUUAGCCAUGCACGAGAUGUAUGAGGGAUAGUAAGCGGCGGAUUGAAGAUGGAAGGAGAAGUUUAAUUUUCUUUUGAGAGCUGUAUUUGAGUCUCCUUUGUUAUCUGAAAACUCCAUUACUAAAACCUUGCUUUUGCCACUUGUCUAAGUGUGCGUACU